rnacentral:rRNA from 1 species
AGUGAACGCUGGCGGUAGGCCUAACACAUGCAAGUCGAACGGCAGCACAGUAAGAGCUUGCUCUUACGGGUGGCGAGUGGCGGACGGGUGAGGAAUACAUCGGAAUCUACUUUUUCGUGGGGGAUAACGUAGGGAAACUUACGCUAAUACCGCUUACGACCUACGGGUGAAAGCAGGGGAUCUUCGGACCUUGCGCGAUUGAAUGAGCCGAUGUCGGAUUAGCUAGUUGGCGGGGUAAAGGCCCACCAAGGCGACGAUCCGUAGCUGGUCUGAGAGGAUGAUCAGCCACACUGGAACUGAGACACGGCCCAGACUCCUACGGGAGGCAGCAGUGGGGAAUAUUGGACAAUGGGCGCAAGCCUGAUCCAGCCAUACCGCGUGGGUGAAGAAGGCCUUCGGGUUGUAAAGCCCUUUUGUUGGGAAAGAAAAGCAGCAGGUUAAUACCCCGCUGUUCUGACGGUACCCAAAGAAUAAGCACCGGCUAACUUCGUG